rnacentral:rRNA from 1 species
AAGAAGGACGGGACUAACACCGAUAUGCUUUGGGGAGCUGUACGUAAGCGUUGAUCCAGAGAUUUCCGAAUGGGGGAACCCACUAUCUUUAGUCGGAUAGUAUCCUUACGUGAAUACAUAGCGUGAGGAAGGCAGACCCAGGGAACUGAAACAUCUAAGUACCUGGAGGAAGAGAAAGAAAAAUCGAUUUCCUGAGUAGCGGCGAGCGAAACGGAAAGAGCCCAAACCAAGAAGCUUGCUUCUUGGGGUUGUAGGACACUCUAUACGGAGUUACAAAAGAAAGUUAUAAAUGAAGCGGUCUGGAAAGGCCCGCCAAAGACGGUAACAGCCCGGUAGUUGAAAUGGCUUUCCCUCCAGAGUGGAUCCUGAGUACGGCGGAACACGUGAAAUUCCGUCGGAAUCCGGGAGGACCAUCUCCCAAGGCUAAAUACUCCCUAGUGACCGAUAGUGAACCAGUACCGUGAGGGAAAGGUGAAAAGCACCCCGGAAGGGGAGUGAAACAGUUCCUGAAACCGUGUGCCUACAAGUAGUUAGAGCCCGUUAAUGGGUGAUAGCGUGCCUUUUGUAGAAUGAACCGGCGAGUUACGAUUUGUUGCAAGGUUAAGCGGAAAAAGCGGAGCCGUAGCGAAAGCGAGUCUGAAUAGGGCGCAUAAGUAACAGGUCGUAGACCCGAAACCAGGUGAUCUACCCAUGUCCAGGAUGAAGGUAAGGUAAUACUUACUGGAGGUCCGAACCCACGCACGUUGAAAAGUGCGGGGAUGAGGUGUGGGUAGCGGAGAAAUUCCAAUCGAACUUGGAGAUAGCUGGUUCUCUCCGAAAUAGCUUUAGGGCUAGCCUCGAGGUAAAGAGUCAUGGAGGUAGAGCACUGUUUGGACUAGGGGCCCUUCUCGGGUUACCGAAUUCAGAUAAACUCCGAAUGCCAUGUACUUAUACUCGGGAGUCAGACUGCGAGUGAUAAGAUCCGUAGUCGAAAGGGAAACAGCCCAGACCACCAGUUAAGGUCCCCAAAUAUAUGUUAAGUGGAAAAGGAUGUGGGGUUGCUUAGACAACCAGGAUGUUGGCUUAGAAGCAGCCACCAUUGAAAGAGUGCGUAAUAGCUCACUGGUCGAGUGACCCCGCGCCGAAAAUGUACCGGGGCUAAACAUAUUACCGAAACUGUGGAUGAACCUCUUUAGAGGUUCGUGGUAGGAGAGCGUUCUAAGGGCGGUGAAGUCAGACCGGAAGGACUGGUGGAGCGCUUAGAAGUGAGAAUGCCGGUAUGAGUAGCGAAAGAAGGGUGAGAAUCCCUUCCACCGAAUAUCUAAGGUUUCCUGAGGAAGGCUCGUCCGCUCAGGGUUAGUCGGGACCUAAGCCGAGGCCGAUAGGCGUAGGCGAUGGACAACAGGUAGAGAUUCCUGUACCAGUGCUAAUUGUUUAACCGAUGGGGUGACACAGAAGGAUAGGGAAUCGCACGAAUGGAAAUGUGCGUCCAAGCAGUGAGUGUGAG